UGGAGCGUCUCUCUACUUCGAGGGAUCCGCGCCCCGCACGAGCGGCGCAGGUGAGCGUGCGUUCGAAUGUCCCCAAAGGCGCCCCGGCAUCAACAGCGCCAUUUCCAGGGGGAGCAGUCCCCGGGGAGGCGAAGGAGAGAGUCAGCAGAGGGGAUUCGGGUCGGAUGCGGCGGCGGCGGCGGCGGCGGCGGCGGCUGCAUCCAUGAGUCUGUGAGCUAGGAAGAGGAGUGCGCUCACAGAGGAAGAGGAGGAGGAGGACGACGAGGAGGAGGGGAGAGGGGGAGAUGAAAUGGUUUAAGAGAGGGGCUUACAACCACGGGCACUGAGAGAAAAUCUCGGCAACGAUGGACGCCUGUUUUAUGUUUCAAGGUGCAGCAUCAGAGAGGAGAAAAAGAUGGAGAAGAGCAGAGUAACACACGUGCAUUCAGCUUGGAAGCAAUAACAACAAUAAAAAGUUUUUUUUUUUUUUAA